GUCCAGCUGACGAGUCUCAGAUGGGACAGAACGUGCGUCCUGGAU
rfam:Schistosoma rodhaini strain Burundi genome assembly, scaffold: SROB_scaffold0008295